UUCUGGUGAGGCCUUCUGGACAGACAGUCCUCAGCAUAUGUGAGCUGCUAUUUCUUGCUGCAGGAAUCUUUCCCUUUUGAUGCCACAUUACCUGUCUCAGUACCAGAGAGACAUGACAAAAUGUCUACCCAGAUGCAAAUGAUAGAAGCAAAGAUAACUUCUGAUGAAAGGAAUAGACUGAAUUAUGCAGUCUUUCUCUUGGAUCAACCCAAUGGCUCGGUGGUGGGGACAUUGUAUGGUGAACAAACCCGGGUUCAACACUGUGUGGACCAUUAUGGUCUGGGUAUUCAGAAGCUGGAUAUGACAUUUUUUGCCUUUAAGAGAGAGAUGAGCAAAAGCUGCUAAAUUUGGAUUUGGAUCUGUGUUUCGAACACCGCAGUGUUGCUGGGUUCCUGGCUCCAGAGCUUUGUCUUUAGGUCCAUCCCUAGCUGUUUAAUUUCUGUUAGAUUCCAAUAUAAGUUCCCUUUAACCAGGUGCUAGCAACUGCUAAGUAUUACUGUUACUUGUGUCUUGGUAGAACAGUCACUAUAUAAAUGUCGGGCUGCCGUGUGGUGUAAAUCCGUCUCAUUUGGAGGGAUGCAGGGUCAAGAGGAGAAGGGUGGGAAUCACCAGAGGAACAUGAAUGAUUACAUGCCAGUGAGGGCACUCUGGCAUCUUUUCCAGGUGCACCAUGUACCCCUUCAUGUGCCUGAUCAGCUCUGCUUUGUUAGCCCCAGCCUCUCCGUGCUCUGCUCUCUUUGGUGUAUUCAGAUACACCAGCAAUGCUAGAUUUGCACUGCCUAUUGGAUGGUGCCUGCGUCCAGUACAGAGCUGUAAGAAGAAAGAAGACUCCUUCUGUAUUUCCCUACCUGUGCACUUUUGCACAUGCAGUGCCAGCCACAAUCUGUCCACAAUGUAGAGUAAGGUAGUUACAGGCUUAAUUUUUUACCUCUGUCUAUGUCAUGAGAGAUCCUACAGUUUUACUUUUGUAUAGAUGUUUAGUACUCUUAUUUGUUAGGUCUGCCUGAAUGCAUGUUUAGUUAGUUAAAAAAAAAUAAUCUUGGAUCAGAUUGGUUGGAGUGGAGAGUUUUGUUAUUGUUGUGGGUUGUGGAAAACAUCAUUUGACGCUGGUGGAUAUAACUAUCACCCUUCACCUAUAAUAACUGUAAGAAACAGUUACAGUUGUUUAUAGCAGCUCCUCUUUCUGCCCCUCCCCCCCCACAAAGACAUACGCAAGUCCACUCAGAAUUAGAACUACAUGGAUCGAGGACUUUGGUUUGGGAAAAGGUUUGUGGGUGGGGAAGGAAAGAGACAGGAACAAACUGGGAAGGAAGCUACAGACACAGUCUGGGCAAGCACAGUGUUAUGCUGGCUAAAAGUAGUUUCGGACUGUAAGCAAAGAAACUUUUUCCUAUUGUUUGGCUCCUCCUGUGUUUUGGGAAACAGGACUUUGUACAUUGCUUGUAAAU